rnacentral:rRNA from 1 species
UACGUAGGCAGCGAGCGUUGUUCGGAGUUACUGGGCGUAAAGGGUGUGUAGGCGGUUGUUUAAGUUUGGUGUGAAAUCUCCCCGGCUCAACUGGGAGGGUGCGCCGAAUACUGAAUGACUUGGAGUGCGGGAGAGGAAAGUGGAAUUCCUGGUGUAGCGGUGAAAUGCGUAGAUAUCGGAAGGAACAUCAGUGGCGAAAGCGACUUCCUGGACCAAUACUGACGCUCAUGUGCGAAAGCGUGGGGAGCAAACAGG